UACGUAGGGAGCAAGCGUUGUCCGGAAUCAUUGGGCGUAAAGCGCGCGUAGGCGGCCCGAUAAGUCCGCUGUAAAAGUCAACGGCUCAACUGUUGAAAGCCGGUGGAUACUGUCGGGCUAGAGUACGGAAGAGGCAAGUGGAAUUCCUGGUGUAGCGGUGGAAUGCGCAAAUAUCAGGAGGAACACCCAUAGCGAAGGCAGCUUGCUGGGACGUUACUGACGCUAAGGCGCGAAAGCGUGGGGAGCGAACAGG
rnacentral:rRNA from 1 species